AUGGCGCCAUCGACCAAGCUCUUCCUCCUACUCCUCGGCCUGAACUUGAUGGUCACCGUUGUGCAUGGUGGCUGCGGACCCCACUGCCCGACCCCGACCCCACCACCGCCUCAAUCGACCAACGGCGGCACAUGCCCGAUCGACACGCUAAAGCUGCGCGUGUGCGCCACGUGCUGAACCUGCUGAAGCUAGGGCUCGGCGUGCCGCACAGCGAGACGUGCUGCCCGCUGCUGGCCGGUCUGGCCGACCUUUGAUGCCGUUGUGUGCCUCUGCACCGCCAUCAGGGCCAAGGUCCUCGGCGUCAUCAACCUCAACAUCCCCGUCGACCUCGUCCUCCUACUCAACCAGUGCCACAAGACCUGCCAGCCCCGCUUCACCUGCCCGCUCUGA
rnacentral:rRNA from 1 species